rnacentral:lncRNA from 1 species
GAUGGUCUAUUUUCAAGGCAGACCAGAAGUGACAUCACAUUUGAGGUGCAAUCAAUAUGAUUAAUCACCUUGGAGGUAAGACAUAUUGGUUCUCAAGAGCUGGGCCUGAGGUCAAAGGAGAGCAAUCUUCUGCAUGUUUGGGAAAGAGAGAACAUAGGGAAGGCCUACCACACACUUGACCACCUCUGCUCAGAAGUGACCCAUAUCACCUCAUCCAUGUUCUGGUGGCCUAGAAGGAGGCAGGAAAAGGUAGAGUUGCACAGAAAUAUUGAUGAGCAUUGACAGUUUCUUUGAUGUCGGUCUUAUAGAAUUAUUUUGAGAAUGAAAUAUGAUAGCAUUUGUAAAAUAUUUAGUUCAGUGUGUGGUAGAUAAUUCAAUCAAUAAUUAUUAAAUUGCUUAGUAUUCCAGUUCAAUAAAAGUUUUUCUCUUACAAAAGAGUUGAUGAAUUAGCAUUCUACUAUAUGUUGAUAUAUUUCUGUGAGUUUGGUUAGUGCAAGCCAAAAUCAGAGAGGUUGUUCCAUACUCAGAGUAUUGAUAAAACCAUAUUUCUGGGUCUGCAAGAACAAUGACCUAGAAACACCAUCCUGUGGAAUCACAUCUUGGGGGCAUUUCAGUCAGCUCUCAGGUGAAAUCCCAUGGUCAAAAUGACGUUUUUCUUCUGAUUUUAGCUGAGCUCUUAAUGUUAAGACCUGG